ensembl:snRNA U6 U6 spliceosomal RNA
GUGCUCCCUUCGGCAGCACAUAUACUAAAACUGGAACGAUACAGAGAAGAUUAGCAUGGCCCCUGCACAAGGAUAACGUGCAAAUACAUGAAGCGUUCCAUAUUUAA